rnacentral:lncRNA from 10 species
UGCUGGAAAAAAAGGAGGGGAAAACCGGAGCAGAAAUAAUUGCUGGAGCUUCCAGUGAGCUGAGAGAGCCUGCAGGCAGAGAUCAACGGGCCUGAUUUCAUCCUCUUCCUUUUAUUUCUAUAACCUUAAACGUUCUGCUAUUAUAAAAGUCAUCAUGUCAGCUUUCUCUCCAGCCUCUCCAGCUGCCCAUUUUCAAAUUGUAUCAAUUGACGCAGGAGGGGGAGGCACGAGGGAGGCUGACAGGAAGUGAGGAUUCGAAACUUCAAAUACAAACAUUAUGAAAAACAAGCAACAUCUGCAAACAACACUCUUGCUCAGGCACUUCCUGGACAGUUGGAUAUAACUGAGCAAUCUCCGUGCAACGGGAAACCAGAAAAGCCCAACUUUCAGCAGGCUUAAUAUUUGGAUAAUCCUGCAUAAUGAUUUCAGGGUUAAGUCACAGAAUGCUCUAUCAGCUUCUCUAUGCAUACUAGGUGCCCAGACUGCUGGGUGACCUGCUUUGGGGGAGAAAAAGCGAGGGUGGGGGGAAGAUCCCUCUGUGUAAACAAACAAUUUUUUGCUGCCUUGGCAAAAUGUAAACAGAACCCACGCACCUUGCCCUGGGGAUCAGCCUGGCAAGAUCUAGUUUGACAGAACUUGCUGCACAGCGUCUCCUCGACGUCCUGGAAAUUCUAGAGGGAAAAAUAACGCACGAGUUGCUGCUGUCUGUGCCUUGUGGAAUCUUAAGUAGAAUGAAACAGGCCCCCGACAAUCAAUAUUACUGACAAAUAAAUUAAUCUCGGCAAAUAAACUGUUGUUAGCUUCAAGGCUGUCCCAGUACCCAGAAUAAUUGCUUAAAUGAAGCUGAGGCCUUUUCACCAGUUUGCAGCUAUUUUUUCUGGUCAUCUACCUGUGGGUAGCACUCAGGUUGUCCAGAGGGAAUUGGUUUUAUAAAAUAAAAUCAUACAGUGGCCCUGACCUUGCUCCAUUAGCUCCCUCAGUGCUAGAGCUCUGUCCUGGCUUCAGAACAAACACUUUUGCCAAAUGCUGAGAAGAUGCCUGCCCUUCACCUACCUUGAGGGAGGCAGGAGGCAAGAGAGAAGUAGGCAGUGAUUGUCUACAUUGCUGCCCAAACCCUUAAGUUUAGCAGAAGUAGUUUGGAAGCUUGGGGUAAGCAAGGCACUCAAUGUCAAGAUUGCAAAAUUCUAGUUUUUCUUAAGGAAUAUAAAGGGCACAUAUACUCCUGUGACUUCCAAGAUCCCUAAGUUUGUGUGGGAGGAGUUGGGGGAGGGGGGUUCAUAUCUAGAGGUAAAACUCACCCAGUCUGCACCACUAUUAAAUAUUGGUCUGCUUUGUGCCAGUUGAAACAUAGUCAUCGCCCCCCUCCCCAAGCCCUCUGCUGCCCACAGCUCUGGCCUUUCCUCAGAACUUCCUCCCCUUUCCUUAAUUCAGCACCUAAAGGGUUAAUAUCUAAGGCAGCAGGAACUCCCAGCACCCCGACCCCAGUGCUGAUUGGUGGCGGUGGGGGGGUGGUCAGUGCCAGCAGUGGCUAAAUAUUUUGACUCUACCCCUAGCUCACAUCCUCAUGGGUGCCCCAGCCUGAUGUCAUUUGGCCUGUCCUGGGUUCUCAUGCCGUGACCCUCUGCAGUGCCUCUUCCUGGGAGUGAGAAAGACAGCAGAUGGAUCAGCUUUUCUGAGCUCAUCCCUUGUUAGAAUUACAGUUCCAGCUAGUCUAGGAUCUGAGACACUCAGGAAUAGCAGGCGAAACAGGCGAGACAUUUCCCAAGUCACAAAGAGUACACAGCCACAGAAAUCAACAGUCACAAGGGUCUAAUUGUCAUUAGCAUGUAAAUUUUAAAAGCUCAGUCAAAAAUAUCAAUACCUCCCACUUAAUUUAUUACUAUAUAAAGAUGGAUGGGAGUGAAGCAUAGCAUUGAUUUUCAGAGCCCUUAAAAAGAAGGGGGAAGAAAAUAGAGACAACACAAAAUGCCGUGCCUCCAAAUUAAUCAACGUGCUUUUUAAACACACACACACGCACACACACAAAUCCUGUACCAACAGCCUGUGCAGUUCAAUCUUAUUUGAUUGCCUUUUCUGAAAAUGAAGAAAUGGAAUAGGCCAUUUAUGUAAAGAGCCCUCUCAGAAUGGAUUAUAUGUAAAGACAGGUUAGCAUUUUUACUGUAUCGACAGCAAACCAUUAGGCAGCCACACUCCAGCCCAGCCACUGAGAGGAAAUCGAAGAGAAGAGUUCCCUGGCCGGGCCAGGCAGGACAGCCUAUCAGCUCCUGGUCACUGUCACUGAUCAUCCCAGCCCAGGCUGCGGCUCUUCUCCCCGCAUGGCAUGACGACGCCAUCACCCUCAUAGUUACCAAAGUGUUAGAAUAGUCGUGACCACUAAAAAGUAAGUAAAUUCAUCACCAGGUUGAAAACUGUGCUGGAGAGCCUAUAAUCUGGGAAUAGUGUUUGUGUCUGAAAUCACACAGAGAUCAGAGCAAAAUUGUCCCGUGUCAUGAGAAGAUGGGUCACCCCUCUGCAUUUGACAUUUUGAGAUGUUUGCAUCUGUACAGAGGGAGAAAGAGGGCUGGAGAGAAACGACUGCAACGAGAGCAAAAAGGAAAAACAGUAAAGACGUUAGAGACAUUCAUUUUGGAAACACCCUCACGUUACAGAGCACCCAACGAAUACUAUGAAAAGUGGUCAUUAUCAGCCCGGCAAACACUGCUGUGCCGUCUUGCUUGCGAGGAAUGCUGCUGCAUGGGUUUCAAGACAAGAAUCCAGGCUGAAUCAGCAGUGCGGUUUCAACAGUGAUGAGAACAAGUAACUAAGAUCUCUUCUUCCCUUAUUGCUGCAGAAGAGCAAUUAAGGCUGCAUAUUUAGAGAUGAUAUCAGCCAGGAAUCCUGCACAGAGAGAAAAACUCGUUGCAUUUUUUUCUUUCUUCCUUUCCCCGUUCCCUUUUCUGUCCAAAGGAAACCCACAGCAAACUGCGUAAAUGCCGCAGGCACGCAAGCCGACUCCAAACCGCCUACCAAGGGUCAGCUCUACCUGCAGCUGUUGCACAAAAUAAAAUCAACGCAGCCCACCCCAGGCAAACACCCUCUGUGGCUCUUUAUUACCAAAUGAUAUGAACUUUGACCCAACCUGAACAAAAUUUAAUAUUUUCUCCCAAAUAUUUAAAAAAUUCAUUCUGGGGCUUGAGUGGAGUCAGGGAGUCUGCGAGCCGUAAUUUGACAUCUGAAUUAUUCUGAGGCUAAUACGGAAAGCUAUUCAGGAGCUUAUUUGGAGAUGUGUCAAUCAAGAUAUCACUUGUACAGGGAAGAUGGACUCAGGCUUAGGAGUGCAGAUAGCUUUCAGGGAAUCACAAAAUAAAAACCAGGCAGGCUCUGAUGAAUACGUUACGUCUUCAUUCUUGAUGAUGACAUUUUUUUUUUCUUGAUAGAGAGUACAGACCUAACAGAGCGAUGUCUCAGGGACGUGCCUUUUUCCACACCUGUGAAAACAUUUUAACGUUUAUUUAAAAUGAUAACCAUAAACAACAAACAUGGUGUCGAAACUCGCCUCUGUUCAUUUUACUGCGCUGAUUAAGAUUUUAAGCAACGCUUCUAAAUUAGACUGUCAGGCAGCCAUCCUCAAUGCAGGGUUGAGGUUCUGAUCUCGAGCUAGCUUGUGUGAACACACGGCCUUUCUGGGUUGAUUGUGAGCCUGGCCAGCAGCCUUCAAUGUUCUUUCAUUCAUUUUCGAUGAGACGGGGAGGGAUUCAAUUAGCCCUGAUUGUCCAUGAGAUGUGGCCCAAAAUAAAACCACUGGGCUCUGAUAGCCUCCUCUCAAGGUAUUUCCCAGCUGACAGGUAACAAUGUUAAUUACCCAUUAUUAUGA